rnacentral:rRNA from 1 species
GAUGAACGCUGGCGGCGUGCCUAAUACAUGCAAGUCGAGCGAACAGACGAGAGUCCUUGCUCUCUCUGACGUUCGCGGCGCGCGUGUGUGUAACAUGUGUGUAACCUAUCUAUGACUCUGGGAUAUCCUCGGGAAACCGGCGCUUAUACCGUAAUAUUUUGAGCUUCGCAGUUAGCAAUUGUGAAAGACUGUUCUUCUGUCUCUUAGAUAUGUACGCGCGGUGUAUUCGCUAGUUUAAGAGGUAACGGCACACCAAGGCAACGAUACAUAGCCGACCUGAGAGGGUGAUCGGCCACACUGGAACUGAGACACGGACCAGACUCCUACGGGAGGCAGCAGUAGGGAAUCUUCCGCAAUGGGCGAAAGCCUGACGGAGCAAUGCCGCGUGAGUGAUGAAGGUCUUCGGAUCGUAAAACUCUGUUAUAAGGGAAGAACAAGUACGUAAGUAACUGAACGUAUCUUGACGGUACCUAACCAGAAAGCCACGGCUAACUACGUG